UACGUAGGGUGCGAGCGUUGUCCGGAAUUAUUGGGCGUAAAGAGCUCGUAGGCGGUCUGUUGCGUCCGCUGUGAAAACUCGGGGCUUAACCCCGAGCCUGCAGUGGAUACGGGCAGACUAGAGGUAGGUAGGGGAGAAUGGAAUUUCCGGUGGAGCGGUGAAAUGCAUUGAGAUCGGAAAGAACACCAACGGCGAAAGCACUCUGCUGGGCCGACACUGACACUGAGAGACGAAAGCUAGGGGAGCAAAUGGG
rnacentral:rRNA from 1 species